rnacentral:lncRNA from 1 species
UGGGUGUUCUAUCCAUUUCAGGUAUUACACAGGGGGUUACAGCAGUUGCUCUAGUGGGUGUUCUUCCCAUUUCGUGCACAAUACCAGGAACCACAUUAGUUGCUAAGGUGGUUUUGGUUUCAGGUAUAACACGAGGAUUCAUAGUAAUUGCUGCUGGAGGUUUUCUAUCAGUUUCAGAUAUAACACGAGGGCUCAUAUUUGCUAUGGGAUGUUUUCUAUUGGUUUCAGGUAUAACAAGAGGGUUCAUACUAGUUGCUAAGCGAGGUUUCCUAUCAGUUUCUGGUAUAACACGAGGAUUCAUAGUAGUUGCUGUAGGAGGUUUUCUAUCCAUUUCAGGUACAACAAGAGGGGUGAUAUUAGUUGACGAGGGAG